UAUUAGGUUGGUGCAAAAGUAAUCGCGGGUUUUGCCACCACUUUCAAUGUUACCAGCGAUUACUUUUGCACCAACGUAAUA
rnacentral:miRNA from 1 species